rnacentral:lncRNA from 1 species
AUUGUAAAAGAGCUAUUUUAUUACUGUUUUAUUUUGUUGCUAUUCUUUCUCUUCCAGUAAGUGAAAUUUUUACAUUCCAUUGGUAGAAGAGAGAGGCAAAAUUGGAUCCUUGAAGACCCCUACCAUCACCUCUAUCAUUAUCCCUGCCCUGAUGACAAGAGGGAGCACGCUGUCACCAUCCUCCCGAUGUCGUGAAGAGAUUACAAUGUGGAACAGUCAUUUGGAUUUAGGAAAAGCCGGAAGUAGCCGUGAUGACAGAUCCAAUGAAUAACGUGGAUAAGGACAUGAUGUGAUGUUUUUCCAAACCUGUCUCUCACAAGGAUAUUACUUUAGGAUAAUCACUCCUCCUAAAAUCACUCCGGAAAGAGGACUUCUAGAGCUGCUUCCGAAAGUGGCAAGAACGGUGGGACCUACACUGAGAAUCCUGGAGAACUGUCAGUAUGGCUUGACAUCAGUGAACUGUGCACUUGAUUCUCGGAGGAAAUGGUAAGAAUGGAGGGAUUUCCAGAAUGCACAAAGAUUAUUUAUACCAUUGAAAGACACAUUGAGGAAUAAGGCACUUAAGUGUCCCACGGACAAGGGGUGAGCAGCCAGUAUUUUAUUUUUUCCUCCUGAACAUUAGGGGACAAGGAUCAACCUGACUCUUUGGCGUUGGCAAGGGAAUAGCAUCAGAUGUGCUGUGCUGAAAGAUAUCUGAGCUGUUGGCCAUAAUCUGGCAUAUCCUCAGAUCCAUUUGGAUUCUUGUUAAAAAGAAGCUUGUGGAACUACUUGGAAUUUUAAAGUUUUUGUUGGG